rnacentral:rRNA from 1 species
AACGUAGGAGACAAACGUUAUCCGGAGUUACUGGGCGUAAAGGGCGUGUAGGCGGUUAGUUAAGUCUGGCGUGAAAGCUCUCGGCUAAACCGGGAGAGGUCGUUGGAUACUGGCUGACUAGAGGACGGUAGAGGCGUGUGGAAUUGCAGGUGUAGCGGUGAAAUGCGUAGAUAUCUGCAGGAACACCCGUGGCGAAAGCGGCGCGCUGGACCACUACUGACGCUGAGGAACGAAAGCUAGGGGAGCAAACAGG